GACGAACGCUGGCGGCGUGCUUAACACAUGCAAGUCGAACGGAAAGGCCCUGCUUUUGUGGGGUGCUCGAGUGGCGAACAGGUGAGUAACACGUGAGUAACCUGCCCUUGACUUUGGGAUAACUUCAGGAAACUGGGGCUAAUACCGGAUAGGAGCUCCUGCUGCAUGGUGGGGGUUGGAAAGUUUCGGCGGUUGGGGAUGGACUCGCGGCUUAUCAGCUUGUUGGUGGGGUAGUGGCUUACCAAGGCUUUGACGGGUAGCCGGCCUGAGAGGGUGACCGGCCACAUUGGGACUGAGAUACGGCCCAGACUCCUACGGGAGGCAGCAGUGGGGAAUAUUGCACAAUGGGCGGAAGCCUGAUGCAGCAACGCCGCGUGCGGGAUGACGGCCUUCGGGUUGUAAACCGCUUUCGCCUGUGACGAAGCGUGAGUGACGGUAAUGGGUAAAGAAGCACCGGCUAACUACGUGCCAGCAGCCGCGGUGAUACGUAGGGUGCGAGCGUUGUCCGGAUUUAUUGGGCGUAAAGGGCUCGUAGGUGGUUGAUCGCGUCGGAAGUGUAAUCUUGGGGCUUAACCCUGAGCGUGCUUUCGAUACGGGUUGACUUGAGGAAGGUAGGGGAGAAUGGAAUUCCUGGUGGAGCGGUGGAAUGCGCAGAUAUCAGGAGGAACACCAGUGGCGAAGGCGGUUCUCUGGGCCUUUCCUGACGCUGAGGAGCGAAAGCGUGGGGAGCGAACAGGCUUAGAUACCCUGGUAGUCCACGCUGUAAACGGUGGGUACUAGGUGUGGGGUCCAUUCCACGGGUUCCGUGCCGUAGCUAACGCUUUAAGUACCCCGCCUGGGGAGUACGGUCGCAAGGCUAAAACUCAAAGGAAUUGACGGGGCCCCGCACAAGCGGCGGAGCAUGCGGAUUAAUUCGAUGCAACGCGUAGAACCUUACCUGGGUUUGACAUGGAUCGGGAGUGCUCAGAGAUGGGUGUGCCUCUUUUGGGGUCGGUUCACAGGUGGUGCAUGCCUGUCGUCAGCUCGUGUCGUGAGAUGUUGGGUUAAGUCCCGCAACGAGCGCAACCCUUGUUCACUGUUGCCAGCACGUUAUGGUGGGGACUCAGUGGAGACCGCCGGGGUCAACUCGGAGGAAGGUGGGGAUGACGUCAAGUCAUCAUGCCCCUUAUGUCCAGGGCUUCACGCAUGCUACAAUGGCUGGUACAGAGAGUGGCGAGCCUGUGAGGGUGAGCGAAUCUCGGAAAGCCGGUCUCAGUUCGGAUUGGGGUCUGCAACUCGACCUCAUGAAGUCGGAGUCGCUAGUAAUCGCAGAUCAGCAACGCUGCGGUGAAUAAGUUCCCGGG
rnacentral:rRNA from 1 species